GAUCAAAGGCAGCUAACCACCACGAUCAUCAUCAUUAGUUAAUGAUACAAGGUUCAGGUUAGGUCAGUUCAUACACAACUUCUGAGGUCAAAGAAAGGCAGGAUGAACACAACAAACUUGGAUCUUAUACACUGGAAUUAUAUAGUAAGUGGCUACUACAUAUCUACUGGCCAAAAGAGGGGCCAAAGUGGGGAGCAAAUUUGCAGCUGCUAAUCACUACCAUCAAUCCUGCUAUUUUGCAGAUCGGACAGUGAGAAGGACCUAGGGGAUCUGAAGCUCCCAAGGCCAUUCCUCCUCUGCAUGCCAACACCGAGGAGCCUCGGCGGAGGCAAUGGCAAUGCCGGC
rnacentral:lncRNA from 1 species